rnacentral:rRNA from 1 species
UGGGGAAUAUUGGACAAUGGGGGCAACCCUGAUCCAGCCAUGCCGCGUGAGUGAUGAAGGCCUUAGGGUUGUAAAGCUCUUUCACCCGGGACGAUAAUGACGGUACCGGGAGAAGAAGCCCCGGCUAACUUCGUGCCAGCAGCCGCGGUAAUACGAAGGGGGCUAGCGUUGUUCGGAAUCACUGGGCGUAAAGCGCACGUAGGCGGACCGUUAAGUCGGAGGUGAAAUCCUGGGGCUCAACCCCAGAACUGCCUUCGAUACUGGCGGUCUCGAGUCCGGAAGAGGUGAGUGGAACUGCCAGUGUAGAGGUGAAAUUCGUAGAUAUUGGCAAGAACACCAGUGGCGAAGGCGGCUCACUGGUCCGGUACUGNNCGCUGAGGUGCGAAAGGCGUGGGGAGCAAACAGGAUUAGAUNACCCUGGUAGUCCACGCCGUAAACGAUGAAUGCCAGCCGUCGGGCAGCAUGCUGUUCGGUGGCGCAGCUAACGCUUUAAGCAUUCCGCCNGGGGAGUACGGUCGCAANAUUAAAAACUUAAAUGAAUUGNCGGGGGCUAGCUGUUUCCUG